UACGAAGGGUGCAAGCGUUAGUCGGAAUUACUGGGCGUAAAGCGUGCGUAGGUGGUCUCUUAAGUCCGUUGUGAAAGCCCUGGGCUCAACCUGGGAACUGCAGUGGAUACUGAGAAGCUAGAGUGUGUCAGAGGAUGGUGGAAUUCCCGGUGUAGCGGUGAAAUGCGUAGAGAUCGGGAGGAACAUCAGUGGCGAAGGCGGUUCUCUGGGACGGUACUGACGCUGAGACGCGAAAGCGUGGGGAGCGAACAGG
rnacentral:rRNA from 1 species